rnacentral:siRNA from 1 species
GCCUCCGAACAUGCCGUGC